CCCUUCGAUGUUCUGGGCUGCACGCGCGCUACACUGUCGGAUUCAGCGAGUCAUAUCCUUAACCGAAAGGUUUGGGUAAUCUUUUGAAAGUCCGACGUGAUGGGGAUUGAUCAUUGCAAUUAUUGAUCAUGAACGAGGAAUUCCUAGUAAGCGCGAGUCAUCAGCUCGCGUUGAUUACGUCCCUGCCCUUUGUACACACCGCCCGUCGCUACUACCGAUUGAAUGGUUUAGUGAGAUCUUCGGAUUGGCGCCUACGCGGCUUCUCUGAGGCCACGCUGGAUGCCGAAAAGUUGCUCAAACUGUAUCAUUUAGAGGAAGUAAAAGUCGUAACA
rnacentral:rRNA from 1 species